rnacentral:lncRNA from 1 species
CCCAGGUGUCCUCCAGGUGUGCCCAGGUGUCCCCCAGGUGUGCCCAGGUGUCCCCCAGGUGUGCCCAGGUGUGGCUCGGAGCCGUUGAGGAAGGUGGCCGCCCCUCCCCCGCCGUAGACCAGAACCCCUCCGGACCAAUCGAAGGCGCCGACGGCUCCCAGGGCCGGACCGGCCUGGAGGGGGUCAAAGGUCAAAGGUCAGCGGGGUCAGAGGGGUCAAAGGUCAAGGGGGUCAGAGGGGUCAAAGGUCAAGGGGGUCAGAGGGGUCAAGCAUCAAAGGUCAGAGGGGUCAAAGGUCAGGGGUCAGUGGGGUCAAAGGGGUCAGAGGUCAAGGGUCAGUGGACAGGGGUCAAGGGUCAGGGGUCAUCUACAGGGCUCAGGGUCAGUGGUCAGUGGACAGGGGUCAGGGGUCAGGGGUCAGAGGUCAGGGGUCAGGGGUCAGAGGUCAGGGGUCAGAGGUCAGAGGUCAGGGGUCAGGGGUCAGGGGUCAGAGGUCAGGGGUCAGGGGUCAGUGGUCAGUGGUCAGAGGUCAGGGGUCAAAGGUCAGGGGUCACCUACAGGGGUCAGGGCGGCGCUGAACCCCUCCUGGGCCAUCUCCAGCUGGAAGGAGCUGCUGAGGGCGGAUUGCGUACCUGGGACAGGUGAGGGACAGGUGAGGGACAGGUGAGGGACAGGUGAGGGACAGGUGUGACCCCAGGUGUGACCCCAGGUGUGUCCCCAGGUGUGUCCAGGUGUCCCCAGGUGUGCCUGGGUGUCCCCAGGUGUGUCCCAGGUGUGUCCCAGAUGUGUCCCCAGAUG